UUCGUAGGUGGUCUUGUCAGUCUGGAGUUAAAGACCGGGGCUCAACCCUGGCACGCUUUGGAUACUGCAAGACUAGAGUAUUAGAGAGGUUAGUGGAACUCCAGGUGAAGCGGGGGAAUGCGUAGAUAUAUGGAAGAACACCAAUGGCGAAGGCAACUAACUGGCUCAUCACUGACACUGAUGCACGAAAGCGUGGGUAGCAAACA
rnacentral:rRNA from 1 species